rnacentral:rRNA from 1 species
CCUACGGGUGACAGCAGUGAGGAAUAUUGGUCAAUGGACGAGAGUCUGAACCAGCCAAGUAGCGUGAAGGAUGACUGCCCUAUGGGUUGUAAACUUCUUUUAUAUGGGAAUAAAAUGUUGCACGUGUGGGGUUUUGUAUGUACCAUAUGAAUAAGGAUCGGCUAACUCCGUGCCAGCAGCCGCGGUAAUACGGAGGGUCCGAGCGUUGUCCGGAUUUAUUGGGUUUAAAGGGAGCGUAGGUGGGUUGUUAAGUCAGAUGUGAAAGUUUGCGGCUUAACCGUAAAAUUGCAGUUGAAACUGGCAGUCUUGAGUACAGUAGAGGUAGGCGGAAUUCGUGGUGUAGCGGUGGAAUGCUUAGAUAUCACGAAGAACUCCGAUGGCGAAGGCAGCUCUCUGGACUGCAACUGACACUGAGGCUCGAAAGUGUGGGUAUCAAACAGGAUUAGAUACCCUUGUAGUC